GACGAACGCUGGCGGCGUGCUUAACACAUGCAAGUCGAACGGAAAGGCCCCUUUGGGGGUACUCGAGUGGCGAACGGGUGAGUAACACGUGAGUAACCUGCCCUUGACUUCGGGAUAACUUCAGGAAACUGGGGCUAAUACCGGAUAGGAAUCCUUGCUGCAUGGUGGGGGUUGGAAAGCUUCGGCGGUUUUGGAUGGACUCGCGGCUUAUCAGCUUGUUGGUGGGGUAGUGGCUUACCAAGGCUUUGACGGGUAGCCGGCCUGAGAGGGCGACCGGCCACAUUGGGACUGAGAUACGGCCCAGACUCCUACGGGAGGCAGCAGUGGGGAAUAUUGCACAAUGGGCGGAAGCCGGAUGCAGCAACGCCGCGUGCGGGAUGACGGCCUUCGGGUUGUAAACCGCGUUCAGCAGGGGCGAAGCUUGUGGUGACGGUACCUGCAGAAGAAGCACCGGCUAACUACGUG
rnacentral:rRNA from 1 species